rnacentral:rRNA from 1 species
CCUGGGAAGUACGGUCGCAAGAUUAAAACUCAAAGAAAUUGACGGGGGCCCGCACAAGCGGUGGAGCAUGUGGCUUAAUUCGAUGCAACGCGAAGAACCUUACCUGGCCUUGACAUCUAUCACGAAAAUCGGUGAAAGCCGGUGACGGCCCGAAAGGGUGCAGGGGAUAGACAGGUGCUGCAUGGUUGUCGUCAGCUCGUGUCGUGAGAUGUUGGCUUAAGUGCCGCAACGAGCGCAACCCCUGUGUUUAGUUACUCCGCAAGGAGGUCUCUAAACAGACUGCCUCGCUUUAAACGAGGAGGAAGGUGGGGAUGACGUCAAAUCAGUAUGGCCCUUACGGCCAGGGCUGCACACGUGCUACAAUGCUCGGUACAGAGGGACGCAAGACCGCGAGGUGGAGCCAAUCCCACAAAACCGAGCCCAGUUCAGAUUGGAGUCUGCAACUCGACUCCAUGAAGCCGGAAUCGCUAGUAAUGGCGCAUCAGCUACGGCGCCGUGAAUACGUUCCCGGGCCUUGUACACACCGCCCGUCACAUCAUGGAAGCCCGCUGCACCCGAAGUCGCCGCGUCAACCGCAAGGAGACAGGCGCCGAAGGUAUGGCUGGUGACUGGGAUG